rnacentral:tRNA from 1 species
GCCUGGCUGGCUCAGUCAGUAGAGCAUGUGACUCUUGAUCUCAAGGUUGUGAGUUUGAGCCCCACAUUGGGUG